GACGAACGCUGGCGGCGUGCUUAACACAUGCAAGUCGAACGGAAAGGCCCUGCUUUUGUGGGGUUCUCGAGUGGCGAACGGGUGAGUAAAACGUGAGUAACCUGUCCUUGUCUUUGGGAUAUCUUCAGGAAACUGGGGCUAAUACCGGAUAGGAUCUUCUGCUGCAUGGGGGGGGUUGGAAAGUGUCGGCGUUUGGGGAUGGAUUAGCGGCUUAUCAGCUGGUUUGUGGGGUAGUGGCUUACCAAGGUUUUGACGGGUAGCCGGCCUGAGAGGGUGACCGGCCACAAUGGGCCUGAGAUACGGCCCAGACUCCUACGGGAGGCAGCAGUGGGGAAUAUUGCACAAUGGGCGGAAGCCUGAUGCAGAAGCGCCGCGUGCGGGAUGACGGCCUUCGGGUUGUAAACCGCUUUCGCAUGUGACGAAGCGUGAGUGACGGUAAUGGGUAAAGAAGCCCCGGCUAACUACGUG
rnacentral:rRNA from 1 species